UAUUUUGAAAAUUUCCAGAUUUUCGUGACCCGGAAGUGUUUCUUUAAUGUUGGUCACAAGACGCAGAUCUGUCAUGAACGUUUUUUUGUGGAGAGCAAAACUGUAAAUUAGCUCCUUCUUUCACCAUGCCUUCAACCCUCUCCAUGAAACUCAUGACAGAAUGUCCAACCAAAACUGAAACACAGAAGGCAUGAUAGAGCAGCCGAUGUACAAGGAGAUGGAGAUGGUGGACCACAUGGGAGGACGAUGGUGAGCCAGCCUUAUGUUUUGCCGUUAAAAAACCCUUCCACUCUGGCCGGGGAUUUCAAGGCUUGUGUCCAAGAGUCCUGCCCGGCCUACAGCUGCUGCUGCCCCAGUCCCGGCUCCGCGGCUUGCUGCUGCCCAGAGUCUGCUGCCCAGAGUCUGCUGCCCAGAGUCUGCUGCCCAGAGUCUGCUGCCCAGAGUCUGCUGCCCAGAGUCCGCCCCAAAGGGAGGGGUGGGACAAAAAGCCCCUGCCAUCUGCCCACUCUUGUCCCUGUGUCCAGUCUCUUCUGUGCUCCGAGGUGGGGCUGUCGUCUCCUCCUGCACAUCCUGAUCCUCUCCCUGCUCCGGCUCCUUUGGCUCCAGUUCCCUCUCUGACUACUGUUCCUCCUUCAGCUCCGGUUCUUCCUCUAGCUACUGUUCUUCCUCCAGCUCCUGUUCUGCCUCUGCUGGCUCCUGUUGCGCCUGAUCCUCCUCCUCCAGCUCUGCCUGGUCCUCCUCCUCCAGCUCCGCCUGGUCCUCCUCCUUGCACCGUGGCAGAAAAUCCGCCUGUUCCCUGUCCCGAGGCGGAGCCUUCACCUUGGUGCCAAGCCCCUACUCCCCUUUGGUGUUUUGGCACAUUGGGGUCUCUGUGCCUUAAGGGGGGGGGAUGCUGUUUGUGAAUGUAGCGUGUUUGGUUUUUGUCUUUUGUUCUUGUAUGCAGUCUGUCCGUGCCCUUACUGUUUGCACCUGUGUCUUGUUUGCUCCCUCGUUGUGUCCCUGUUUAAGUUCCUCCUUCUUGUUGGUCACUGAAUGUCAUCAGUGUGGUUCUUGUUGCGUUCUCACGUCCGGUGUUUCAGUGUAUAGCCUUUUGUUUCCGUAGUGCCCGGCACUCUGUUUUGUUUUCCUUUUUGUCUUUAUUAAAGCUCCUUCUUUCACCCUGCUUUUACCGCCGACCCUCUCCGUGAAACUCUUGACAUAAGGAAGAUGUACUUGCUUAUUAUUGCUUAUUACAAUGUUUUUCUAAUAGGAUCACUUGAUACAUUAUUUUGUUCAAAAAUAUUUUUUCAACAUUGAAUAUUUAACAGCUUGACGUUUGCUAAGUUAGCUUGACUGUAGCCUUUUGGCCUCCCUUAACUAGCUACCCACUUAAUCAGUUUCUGAAUUAAUGUAUUUCUCUAUAUAUGACGAUGUAAAUUAACUACAUUUGUUUGUGCACAGCAAUGGGUUGAUAACAGCUAAGUUUGUCACCAGUAUUAAGCAAGGUAAUACACAAUAUAGCUAGUUAGGUACUGUAGGCGCAAGCUAAAAACUGAGCCAGAAUGGGAGAUCAUUCAUUUUUUGUUUGACAGUGAUGUUACAUCUAACGUAUUGCAUAUAAAAAUUAUGAAAUGAGGUGUGUAUCAUGUGUUUGUCUCUAUGAUCUAAUAUUUAUUUUAGAAAAAGCAAGUCUAAUUAUACCUAACCAUCAGUGUAAAAUAAAUCUAUAAACUAGGCAACAUUUACAGUCA